GGGCCCGUCGUCUAGCUUGGUAGGAUGCGGGGUACACAUAUCCCCGCCCGAAAACCGUAUGAGGGCGGGGAUGUGCCCGACUCGGGACCCCGUGGUCCCGGGUUCAAAUCCCGGCGGGCCCACCA
rnacentral:tRNA from 1 species